UCUAGGUGCGUCCUACAAAAUCCAGCACAUGAGGUUUUGUAUGCGUAACCUAGGCG
rnacentral:pre_miRNA from 1 species